AGUUCCAUCAUGAAGCGCAGUUAUCAGUGUCUCAUUUCUUCAUACCCUUCCCAAGCCCAUUGAUAAUUUUCAGGAACAUAACAUGUUACUAUAGGAGAGCUUGGGAUCCAGCUGACUGAAUGUUUACAGAUGACUUGAUGAGACCCAAGAAUGUGGCCCUUAUGCCCGUGGAAGCUUUUAAUUGCCUCUUUUGGAAACUAGUUUUGAUUCUUCAUAAUCACGUCUGUUUGAGGACACAGACGAUCAAUCUUCGAUCUUCCUCAUCUUUCUCACCUUCCUCACUGAACACCUAAGAUCAUUCAGAAUCAAAGAUAAGCACAAUAUAUUUAUGGCCUUGGUGUUUAAAGUGGAGCUGAAGAUUACUGCAGGAUCCAUCCAGGAAAGAGCCUGCCCACUUGACUCUUCUACCUGUAGCCUCUCCAGAAUACUGGAUGUAAAAGGAGAUCUUCACGGGUUAAAAAAAUGCCUUUCCAGUAAAGCUAACAAAAAACAAAACAAAAUAAAACCAUAUCCAAAAUACUAAACAGCUGUCUCCAAGAUCAGAAGGCAUCAGAAAAGACCCUCAAGAGUUGUCUAAUCCCAGAGGAAGAUCUUAAGUGGGGAUGUGCUCACAGCAGAAACCUUGGAAAUUUCAGGGAGUGAAAUUUUAUUGUCAGAACUUUCAAUAAAAGUGUAGCCACAGAUCCUGGGAGCAUUAAAUAAAAAUUACCAACAAGCUGUCUUACCUGUGUGCACUCCACUGAAAGGAAGGGCAAACAUGAGCAAGGAGCUCUUGUACAUCAGUCAAAAUUCUGACAGCUACCCUGUGAAGUUUGACGGGCUGCCAUGUGCUAGACUACCUAAGAUACUCUUAACUGAACCAUAAAAAGACAAAUAAAUUAGUAAUUGUAUCCCUCCU
rnacentral:lncRNA from 1 species